GACGAACGCUGGCGGCGUGCUUAACACAUGCAAGUCGAACGGAAAGGCCCUGCUUUUGUGGGGUGCUCGAGUGGCGAACGGGUGAGUAACACGUGAGUAACCUGCCCUUGACUUUGGGAUAACUUCAGGAAACUGGGGCUAAUACCGGAUAGGAGCUCCUGCUGCAUGGUGGGGGUUGGAAAGUUUCGGCGGUUGGGGAUGGAUUCGCGGCUUAUCAGCUUGUUGGUGGGGUAGUGGCUUACCAAGGCUUUGACGGGUAGCCGGCCUGAGAGGGUGACCGGCCACAUUGGGACUAAGAUACGGCCCAGACUCCUACGGGAGGCAGCAGUGGGGAAUAUUGCACAAUGGGCGGAAGCCUGAUGCAGCAACGCCGCGUGCGGGAUGACGGCCUUCGGGUUGUAAACCGCUUUCGCCUGUGACGAAGCGUGAGUGACGGUAAUGGGUAAAGAAGCACCGGCUAACUACGUG
rnacentral:rRNA from 1 species